UUGCUUCGGAAGCACAUAUGCUAAAGCUGUAAUGAUACUCAGAGGAUUAGCAUGGCCCCUGUACAAGGAUGACACACAAAUUUGUGAAAUGUUCCAUAUUCUA